rnacentral:other from 1 species
AGAUUCCUGGGGUGUUCGCUACUCCUGCAUUUUUGAACCUACAUUACCAUUUACGGGAUUCCAAUUAUGAGCCGAUGGAUGUCAGGCCUCCUUACGCAGUGGAAGGCAGAAGUUGGACUGAGGUUACCCACCUAGCUCUGCUAGGCGUCAAAAAGCAGGGAACGGCAUUUUGGGAAUUUC